GAUGAAGAACGUAGCGAAAUGCGAUAAGUAAUGUGAAUUGCAGAAUUUAGUGAAUCAUCGAAUCUUUGAACGCAUAUUGCGCCCGCCAGCACUCUGGCGGGCAUGCCUGUUCGAGCGUCAUUUCAACCCUCAGGCCUCGUGUCUGGCGUUGGGGCGCUGCGGCCCUCCCGCAGGCCCCCGAAUAUAGCGGCGGACCCGUCCGGCCCUGAGCGCAGUAGGGAGUAAACUCGAACGCUCCGGCGGCCGUGGCGCGGUUAUUCCUUCCGCCUUGUAGCGCUAAUGGCGCCACCCCCAAUAAGUUGACCUCGGAUCAGGUAGGACUACCCGCUGAACUUAAGCAUAUCAAUAAGCGGAGGA
rnacentral:misc_RNA from 1 species